UAUUGCCCAAUGGGGGAAACCCUGAGGCAGCAACGCCGCGUGGAUGAAGACGGCCUUCGGGUUGUAAAAUCCUUUUAUCAGGGAAGAUAGUGACGGUACCUGAGGAAUAAGUCCCGGCUAACUACGUGCCAGCAGCCGCGGUAAAACGUAGGGGACAAGCGUUAUCCGGAUUUAUUGGGCGUAAAGCGCCCGUAGGCGGCGAGGUAAGUUGGACGUGAAAGCUCCCGGCUUAACUGGGAGAGGGCGUGCAAAACUGGCUGGCUUGAGGCUGGUAAAGGAGCGUGGAAUUCCCGGUGUAGUGGUGGAAUGCGUAGAUAUCGGGAGGAACACCAGUGGCGAAAGCGACGCUCUGGAUCAGACCUGACGCUGAGGGGCGAAAGCGUGGGGAGCGAACGGU
rnacentral:rRNA from 1 species